rnacentral:tRNA from 1 species
GUGCCUAUAGCUCAGUGGUAGAGCGUCCGCCUGUGGAGCGGAUUACACGAGUCCGAUUCUCGUUAGGCACC